rnacentral:rRNA from 1 species
GACGAACGCUGGCGGCGUGCUUAACACAUGCAAGUCGAACGGAAAGGCCCUGCUUUUGUGGGGUGCUCGAGUGGCGAACGGGUGAGUAACACGUGAGUAACCUGCCCUUGACUUUGGGAUAACUUCAGGAAACUGGGGCUAAUACCGGAUAGGAGCUCCUGCUGCAUGGUGGGGGUUGGAAAGUUUCGGCGGUUGGGGAUGGACUCGCGGCUUAUCAGCUUGUUGGUGGGGUAGUGGCUUACCAAGGCUUUGACGGGUAGCCGGCCUGAGAGGGUGACCGGCGACAUUGGGACUGAGAGAGGGCCCAGACUCCUACGGGAGGCAGCAGUGGGGAAUAUUGCACAAUGGGCGGAAGCCUGAUGCAGCAACGCCGCGUGCGGGAUGACGGCCUUCGGGUUGUAAACCGCUUUCGCCUGUGACGAAGCGUGAGUGACGGUAAUGGGUAAAGAAGCACCGGCUAACUACGUG